GCCCUUUCCAUCUCUUUCUCUCUCCCUCUGAAAAUAGCUGCACACCGUAUUCUCUCACCCUCUCUCAAUCUCUCGUUCACUCAUUUUCACCGCUGUUGACCGACCUCCAUCUUAUAAUCUCUCACUCUCAUUCUCCCUCAGGCGUGGACUAAGGCUCGACGACUAUGGGAUGUAGGCAGGGACUAAAGGUUGACGAUGAUGGGAUGCAGGCGGAGCUUUGGUGGUGAGGGCUAGAUCGGUGCAGGUGGUGGUUGAUUGUGUCUGUUGCAAAGGUCGGGGACAGACGGGGACUGAAGGGUGACGAAUGGGUUCCGAAGGCCCAAGUUGUUGGUUUUAAAAGUUUGUGCUUUUCCCCAAAUUUCCAAAUGGUUUAAAGGUUCUUUCUUUGAUUCUGUAUCUCCAUAUAUUGUUCUAUAUUAUGACAUAAUAUAAUUGGUUUGUCUUUAAGAGUCUCCAAUAGGAGAUGAAGUUUCAAUAAGAAUGGUUUACUACCCCCGAUCCGAUUUCUCAAGGGAAAAUUCUCUGGUCUUGUAAGUCAACAUACCUCUAUAAUUUUUUAGGCUAAUGAGUUCUUAUGAAUAUUGUUGACUGUUUUUAAUAAUAGAUAAUUUUUUAAUUGUUUCA